rnacentral:rRNA from 1 species
CUAUGGUGGCGACCGGCGCACGGGUGCGUAACGCGUACGCAACCUACCUUUAACAGGGGGAUAACACUGAGAAAUUGGUACUAAUUCCCCAUAAUAUUCGGAGAGGCAUCUCUCCGGGUUGAAAACUCCGGUGGUUAUAGAUGGACAUGCGUUGUAUUAGCUAGUUGGUGAGGUAACGGCUCACCAAGGCAACGAUACAUAGGGGGACUGAGAGGUUAACCCCCCACACUGGUACUGAGACACGGACCAG